rnacentral:lncRNA from 1 species
GUGGUGUGUAUAAUGGUAUCUACAAUAUACAUUUUUCAAACACUUUUUCUUAUUUGUAUGUCUGCAUUUGUAGAAUCUACAAGUUGCAACGAUAGAUGGACGGAGUUCCAUGGGUCAUGCUAUUUGUUUGCACAUGGAGGAUCACUAUCCUUCUUUGAGGCUGAGCAUUACUGCAAUCAACAUGGUGGACAUCUUGUACACAUAAAUAAUCAAGCUGAAAAUUUGUUUGUCAAGGAUUACCUGCGAUCUAUCAAAG